ACGGUCGUAAAUUUACAUUGCUCACGGAUAAUCAGCCUAUCAAAACAAUGCUUGGAUCAAAAGCAAAUUUACCUAUCCUAACAGCAUCACGUUUACAGAGAUGGGCAGGCAAGGAUUUAGCUCACGCAGAUGCAUUGUCCAGACUACUAAGUAAAGAUAUUGUAUGGCGCAUACGUAACUUUGCAUCCAGAGUACCUGUCGGUACGAGAGGUUGGUAAAAGCCAGUCCUUCCGUAUCCACCGCAUCGACCACUGGUUGUAUCUUGGUUAUAUAGUAUUGUAAAUAUAUCGAAUCUGUUAGUCUGGGCGAGUUAUCCGAGCAAUCCAGUUGGGUCAAGUUUAUCACCCUGAAUGAAUAAACGUAAAGGCCUAUGAAUUGGUAUUAUAUAAUCCUGAAGAUGACAGAAACUAUAUAAUCCAACUAACUUCUACGGAUUAUGCAAAGGCGUACCAAUGUACCUUUCUUUCAGAAAAUUUAACACAAUUUUCAUUUUUUAGAUGAAUCUUUUGCAGCGUCCUUAUUAUUCCAUGCACAAUGCAGUAACAAUAUGGCCGAUAGAACAGAAACUUCACAAGCCAUUUCUAAAGACCACGGCAACACCAAAACGAACGCGACGGAUAAUGAAAUUUCAAGUAAAGUUUGGACCAAAGACAAUGUUAAUCAAGUUAUGUAAGGAACACAGUGAAGAAUUUCAAUCCAAGUUAAAAAAAGUAGUGUGACAAAAAAUUUCUACGGAAUUAUCAAACAGAGCAGGAUUGCUAUCAGUGCCCAGCAAUGCGACACACAAUGGAAAGGGUUAACAGUUAUGUAUAAAGGUGUGAGAGAUCAUAAUAAUACAAGCGGAAAUAAUGCAAAACACUACGGGAAUAUUACGAUGUGUUAAAUGAGAUUUUACAGUCCAAACCAGAAAUUACCCAAGUAGCAACAUGCAGUGUGCGAGAAGGGCUAGUAAAUGCAGCAAAUGCAGGCUUAUCUGACAGAAAUGCAGCACCAUCUCCCACUUCAAAAAGGUCACUUUCGUCAACACCAGAAAAUGAAACAUUCAUGCAACGACGAAAGCGC